GUUCUCCCAUCGUCACUGGAAGAGCUAGCUUCUGUUGUUGGGUAGCUGGCAGGCAGCUUGGUUGGGCCUUGCUGCAGCUUGGUUUAUGUUCGGGUUUCUUGCAUCUUCGCCUAUAAGAACGAGUCUUCGCGUGGCAGUGGACUGUUUGUAUGUCCAGUUUGAACGUGUGUGUGCUUGGAAAACGUGCCAUUAAGCACUGUUCGGUAGCUCUCCGGUUGCUGCGUCGGAUCAGCUGUGCCUCCAGGUAGGUAAUCUAACCCUAGCUUUGCAUUUAGAGAUAUUUGGCUUGUACUAAUUCUCCUCUGUGCUUCCAGACAGCUUAAUCUAAUUGAAGCCUGUGCAGUGCUCCAGAUCGUGGCUGUACAUAGGCCUCGCUGCUGCUGCUUUGUUUCUACCAUCAUAUUACCGUCGCUCUCUGCUGAUCAGCCAGGUGGCUAACUCCCCUCUCCGGUUGUGUCCCGGGGAAACCACUGGUCGUGCCUUGUGUUGUGGCUGGGUAUUGUUUGUACGGUGUACUGCCCUGACGUCCACUGUCCGACAAAACCGUGUGUACUUGUGCACAUGAUUGUGUGUGUGUGUGUUUGUGUGUUCCAGUCAGGGUGCAUGUGAUCGUGUGUUUGUGGUUGGGGUGCAUUUGUUUGUGUGCUCGUGUGCAUGUGUAUUUGUGAUUGCGGUGCAUGUGUUUGUGUGCUCGUGUGCAUGUGUGUUUGUGGUUGAGGUGCAUGUACUUGUAUGUUUGCAUGGCCUAUUGUGUCAUUAUCUUACAGUGGACUAUUGGGGCAGACUGCAGAGGCCGCCCGCCUAGCACUGAGCCCCAGGGCCGGGCUUGCUAAAGAUAAGUGUUCCAUGCUUUUCCAUAUUGUAUCUACCUAGCUAUUUUGAUAUUCAUCAGCUCACUGACCCUACUAAUCAGUUUGCCUUUCUCUCUCUCUUUCUCUGUGUGUGGAAGCCAGGAGCUGUGACCUAGAGCAGCGGGUUGGUGGCGGAACCCUUCCCUCAAUGGUCCUUUCCUUUGUGCACCUUAGUGGUUUGCUUUCUUUGCUUUGCUUAUAUUUUGAUAUUGCCGUGUUCACGUGUGGUGUGGCUUUGGACCCUUCCCCCUCCUCGUCCGCCUUCCCCCUGCCGUGGUAAGCUACAGUCCUGCUUUCCCCACACCCAAAUUUGAUUAACCUCUCAGGGCCCUGUGCCCCCAUGGUCCACAUAUUAUCAUUGUGUCAUACUGCUCAAACUUUUACGGAGUGACCACUCCAUUGGUAUCUUGUCAAACUCCCAAUAAAAAGUAUUUGUAUAUUUUUUGGAAAACACGUCUUCAGUCCUUUUUGAU